GUCCCGCCAAAUUUUCACGUUUCUCCGACCUUGAUCUUGCCUUUCUUCACCUACCUUCUUGACUCAGUAAUGGCGUCCGCUUCCACUGUUCCACUUUAAACUCCUCGAUUUCUUCGUCUUUCUCCUUGAAUUUGAACCCUAGGAAUUCGUUUUCUACGAAUUUUAUUCCUCGGUCGAUUCCUUCCGGUGUUUAUUUCGCAAUGUCGAUUCGUAGCUUUGUGCCUUCGUCUGUCUUUUUCGUUAUCAGUUUUCGCUUACAGCUGCUUCAAUUUGUUGUGGCGGAGGGGAUGAACUAUGAGGUAUCAGCGAGGAAAAGCGAUUUAAUCAAAGGCAAGGCUUCAAGAGAAGACAAUAGGGGUGCGGGCCAGAGAUACUCGUUGUUAUUGAAUCUUCUCCAAAGAAAGAUAAAUACGAUGACCACGAGUUUAUUGAAAUCGAUUUUGACGAGUCAUUAUUCUCCAGCUAAGCUGCAUUUAACUUCAAGAGGUGAAAAAACGUGGAGAAGGGAUGAUGACUAUAUAUCAGCUUCUGUUGCUGUCCAAAUUGGCCAAGUUUUAUGCAACUUUGGGCCAACUGCGUAUUAAAUAUUUAGUGCACAACUUGCAGGUAUUGCUUAUCAUUGUGGUUACAUGCUGACAUGUCUGGUGCCCCUAUAUCUUGGAGGAAUCAAAGUAAGGUAUGUUGUUUCAUCUACACAAAUUCUGUUUGUUCAAGCAACGAGGUAGGAAGAAGUAUUAUUCUGAUUAAAAUAGAAAAAAUAUGUUGCUUCUUUCCACUAUAUAAAAUUUUGUUGAUCAAGGUUCCAGUAUUAAUUUCAUUUACGAAAUAGUAGUGCGCUAUAUCCUGAAAAAAUAGAAAAAGUAGCGGACCGGAUUUAAUAGAAGAAAACAAAUAUCUUUAUAUUAAAUAUUAAUCAUGUUUGUAAUUUACCACGAACACAGAGGUUCAAAUCUUCUCAUGUUGUGGUAAAAAACAAGAAUAAUUUGUGAAGUUUAUAUUAUAUUGUGAAAUAGUUUAAU